ACAAUCUAAGCCUUCUGAACUUAAUCAAAUUAUGUAUCUUCACCACAAAUGAUCUUUUCUUCAUACCUUAGGUGUCGAUCUUUCCAAAUGAGUCUUCGUCCUCCAAUUUGAAUCUUUUCUCAAAAUCUUCUGCGAUCAACUCUUCAAGACUCCAAACAACUUUACGAAAUUCGCCAACCUAUAAAAUCCUUAACAUCUCCCCUAUACCGUUCAAGGCUCAACAAACAGUACAAUACAAAAGGUUCCAAAUAGGAACAGUAUUCGUACAAUGAUUGCAUAAGGAAGGUAUCGAACAAUAUAACACAUCCUAUGUUAUUACAAGCAUUCCCAUUAGAUUCAUUUUUACAUCACACUCACAUAAUACAUUUUAUGACUUCCAAAUACAAUCAAAUUACUACAUCAUUUGUUUACAAGUUUUAGUACAUCUUGUUCUUUUCAUUUCCCUCUAC
rnacentral:lncRNA from 1 species